rnacentral:rRNA from 1 species
AGGAUGAACGCUGGCGGCGUGCCUAACACAUGCAAGUCGAACGUCCUGUCUCGCAAGAGGCAGGGAGUGGCGGACGGGUGAGUACCACGUGGGUCAUCUACCGUGAGGUGAGGAAUACCGGCGAGAAAUCGCCGACAAGACCGCAUAGGCUCGAUGCAAGUCGAGCAAAGCUCUUUCGAGAGAGGGAGCGCCACACGAGGAGCCUGCGCCCGAUUAGCUAGCUGGUGGAGUAACGGUUCACCAGGGCGACGAUCGGUAGCUGGUCUGAGAGGACGAUCAGCCACACUGGGAUUGAGAACGGCCCAGACUCCUACGGGAGGCAGCAGUGAGGAAUAUUCCACAAUGGGCGAAAGCCUGAUGGAGCGACGCCGCGUGCGGGAUGAAGCCUUUGGGUGUAACCGCUUUUUUCGGGAUGAUACGUGGCGCAAGCCACUAGGACAGUACCCGAAGAAUAAGCAUCGGCUAACUACGUG